rnacentral:rRNA from 1 species
AUUGAACGCUGGCGGCAGGCUUAACACAUGCAAGUCGAGCGGAGAGAGGUAGCUUGCUACUGAUCUUAGCGGCGGACGGGUGAGUAAUGCUUAGGAAUCUGCCUAUUAGUGGGGGACAACAUUUCGAAAGGAAUGCUAAUACCGCAUACGUCCUACGGGAGAAAGCAGGGGAUCUUCGGACCUUGCGCUAAUAGAUGAGCCUAAGUCGGAUUAGCUAGUUGGUGGGGUUAAGGCCUACCAAGGCGACGAUCUGUAGCGGGUCUGAGAGGAUGAUCCGCCACACUGGGACUGAGACACGGCCCAGACUCCUACGGGAGGCAGCAGUGGGGAAUAUUGGACAAUGGGCGGAAGCCUGAUCCAGCCAUGCCGCGUGUGUGAAGAAGGCCUUAUGGUUGUAAAGCACUUUAAGCGAGGAGGAGGCUACUUUAGUUAAUACCUAGAGAUAGUGGACGUUACUCGCAGAAUAAGCACCGGCUAACUCUGUGCCAGCCGCCGCGGUAAGAC